rnacentral:lncRNA from 1 species
UGCACAGGGUUAUGAUCUUGCAUGUGAAGCCCUAGGCACAGUACCUGGACAGACCUGGCUAUCCAGUAGCACCUAUUCUAACCUUACAGGGCAGAGCCAGGUGAAACAUCAGAACAGGGAGAAGACUCUAGAAACUGAGAAUUGACUUGAAUUUGACUUAGAUUUCAACACACUUAUUAAGUAACUACUGUGCAUUGGACCUGUGCUAGUGCCAGGGACACAAAGACCAGGAUAGCACAGGCUGUUUCUCAAGAAGCUCUCAGGCUGCUGGGGGAGAAAGGCACAGGAACGAAGUGGCAGUGCCUUGUGGAAUGGACGUCCGAUGACCCCAGGACAGUGAGCCAGCUUGGGUGAGGAGCCCAUAGGUGGUCAAGCACACAGCAACGCUUCAGGCCUCUGGACACAAUCUUCUACAGGAGCAAUAACCAGAAGUAAAACCAGAAGGGAGCUUGUGCACUGACUGUGGGAAGCAAGGAAUCACACUGUUCUUUACUGCAUACAAAAUUCCCCCACGUUGAGAUUGUUUCUGGAAUCAUAAAAGGGGUCUUUCUUGGGGACAACAAUUGCAACCUGGCCUUGUCCUCUAAGUCUGCUCAGAGCAUUAAACAACUUUCGAAUCAUAUUCUCAUAAACCAUCCCAUUUGGGUCUCCUGGAAGUCCUGUGAGGAAGGCAGUGAAGGUAUUGGUGGCACAGUGUCUUCCUGAAGGUUCACUGGAAAAAUGGCAACAUAUUUUUGUGGAGCUGUUGACAGCAAUAGCAAUUUCUGCAAGAGGCAUUGGCCUUUGUAAACUGGUCAAGCUUUGGCAUGAAUAAACCGGCCAAUUCAGUAAAGAGGACCCAAUGAUCAGGAUGAAGACAAGCAGAAGCUGCUGGUGGUGGCUGGCAAUUUUUGGUGUUCCUUCACUUGUAGCUGCAUCUCUCCAAUUUCUGCCUCCAUCAUCUCAUGACACACUCAGACAAUGUUGAUUUGUCUUUCUUCUGUAUAUUUAUGAAGCUGUUGAUCCUAUGGUAACCUUAUCCUUACCUCUGGUGGAGCAGGAGGAAGAGAAAGCAAGAAAGACAGAAACAGAGAAGCUGGUUUUACCCCUUCCCUUCCUCAGGGCGCCACAGCAUUCCCUAUAACUCUGGGGAACAGUGAGGAUGAUGCAAGAACAGAGACAGUUUCAAAAAAGAGUUAAGGUGUAAUUAAUUAAUUGGGACCCCCUGCCCACGGCUGUCAUUUUUAUUUGAGGUGACCUCAGCUCUCUUGCUGGAGUCUGAUUUUAGUCCUGGCUCCUUUUGCUUCCGUGUUACCAUUCUACUCAGUCCUCCUACAUCUUUAUUAAACCUACAUUUUCUGAAUGACCCAAAUUUGUUCUUAAAUAGUGC